CCCGGCGACCGGCGCACGGGUGAGUAACACGUAUGCAACCUGGCCGUGACAGAUGGAUAACCGGGAGAAAUCCCGCCUAAUACAACAUAAUGCCGGGAGAGGACAUCCCCUGCCGGCCAAAGGGGGCGACCCCGGUCACGGAUGGGCAUGCGGCGCAUUAGGUAGUUGGUGGGGCAACGGCCCACCAAGCCGACGAUGCGUAGGGGUUCUGAGAGGAAGGUCCCCCACAUUGGAACUGAGACACGGUCCAAACUCCUACGGGAGGCAGCAG
rnacentral:rRNA from 1 species